GCGGGAGUAGCUCAGUUGGUAGAGCGCGACCUUGCCAAGGUUGAGGUCGCGGGUUCGAGUCCCGUCUCCCGCUCCA
rnacentral:tRNA from 5 species